AGAUCGAUUGGAUACUUACCUGACGCGGGAGGUUUACCGAGAUCUCCUGUGUCGUUGUCUUCUUGUUU
rnacentral:pre_miRNA from 1 species